rnacentral:lncRNA from 1 species
UUUUUUAAGGCUCAUGACCUCUUUCCAUGACUUUAUUUUAUGAUCGUAAGGAUCCAUUCAUAUUUCACAUAUAGAGAUGGAUUACAUCAUUUCCGUUCAUUACAUAAUGGCCACACAUCAACAACAUGAAGAAUGAGUUUACAGAGGUUGCUAGAUCAACAACAUAGACCACAUUCAUUUAGAACCUACAUGACUACUCUAAAUCUUGAAUUCGCCUCUGAUUGUGACGAACUAUAUAUGAAGAAUUGCUAGAUCAACAAUGAGCAGCCUAUGAUUUAGUGAAAACAAAACUAGAUAUAAUUGUGUCAAUAUUUUGCAACUCCAGCACUCUGAGCCUUCCCUAAAAUCGACUCGAUGCUGCCAUGGAAAAGACCUAAGCUUUUCGCUAAAGCAAAGCCGCUAUACAUGCCAUCAACAGCUGCACUUACUAUCCCGCCAGCAUAGCCUGCUCCUUCUCCGAUAGGGUAAAGCCCUCUUAAAGACGUGCACUCGUAAGUGUCAGCACUUCGCGAGAUCUGGACAGGGGAACUAGUUCUUGUCUGUAAUGAGGAAGAAAUGAAAAGUUACCACUUCGGUUCAAGAAGCAAGAAAUGUGCAAGUUAUUAACUCCAAUGCUUUGUUUUAAUGAAUACAACAUCUUUUUUUAAGGCUCAUGACCUCUUUCCAUGACUUUAUUUUAUGAUCGUAAGGAUCCAUUCAUAUUUCACAUAUAGAGAUGGAUUACAUCAUUUCCGUUCAUUACAUAAUGGCCACACAUCAACAACAUGAAGAAUGAGUUUACAGAGGUUGCUAGAUCAACAACAUAGACCACAUUCAUUUAGAACCUACAUGACUACUCUAAAUCUUGAAUUCGCCUCUGAUUGUGACGAACUAUAUAUGAAGAAUUGCUAGAUCAACAAUGAGCAGCCUAUGAUUUAGUGAAAACAAAACUAGAUAUAAUUGUGUCAAUAUUUUGCAACUCCAGCACUCUGAGCCUUCCCUAAAAUCGACUCGAUGCUGCCAUGGAAAAGACCUAAGCUUUUCGCUAAAGCAAAGCCGCUAUACAUGCCAUCAACAGCUGCACUUACUAUCCCGCCAGCAUAGCCUGCUCCUUCUCCGAUAGGGUAAAGCCCUCUUAAAGACGUGCACUCGUAAGUGUCAGCACUUCGCGAGAUCUGGACAGGGGAACUAGUUCUUGUCUGUAAUGAGGAAGAAAUGAAAAGUUACC